CCUACGGGAGGCAGCAGUGGGGAAUAUUGCACCAUGGGCGAAAGCCUGAUGCAGCAACGCCGCGUGAGCGAUGAAGGCCUUCGGGUCGUAAAGCUCUGUCCUCAAGGAAGAAAAUGACGGUACCUGACGAGGAAGCUCCGGCUAACUACGUGCCAGCAGCCGCGGUAAUACGUAGGGAGCAAGCGUUAUCCGGAUUUACUGGGUGUAAAGGGGGCCUAGGCGGUAUUUUAAGUCAGAUGUGAAAGGCCAGGGGUCAACCCUUGGACGGCAUUGGAAACUGUGUAACUGGAGUGCAGGAGAGGAGAGUGGAAUUCCUAGUGUAGCGGUGAAAUGCGUAGAUAUUAGGAGGAACACCAGUUGCGAAGGCGGCUUUCUGGACUGUAACUGACACUGAGGCUCGAAAGCGUGGGGAGCAAACAGGAUUAGAUACCCGAGUAGUC
rnacentral:rRNA from 1 species